rnacentral:rRNA from 1 species
GACGAACGCUGGCGGCGUGCUUAACACAUGCAAGUCGAACGAAGUGGCGAACGGGUGAGUAACGCGUAAUCAACCUGCCCUUCAGAGGGGGACAACAGUUGGAAACGACUGCUAAUACCGCAUACUGAAGGAGGUGAUUGCGUCUGAUUGGGUGGUUGGGGGGGUAACGGCCCACCAAGGCGAUGAUCAGUGGCCGGGCUGGAGGGAUGAACGGCCACAAUGGGACUGAGACAAGGCCCAGAAUUCUACGGGAGGCAGGAGUGGGGAAUCUUCCGCAAUGGACGGAAGUCUGACGGAGCAACGCCGCGGGAGUGAUGGCGGCCUUUGGGUUGUAAAGCUCUGUUAAUCGGGACGCGGUACCGGAAUAGAAAGCCACGGCUAACUACGUGCCAGCAGCCGCGGUAAUUC